GACAGAGGGUGCAAACGUUGUUCGGAAUUACUGGGCGUAAAGAGAGUGUAGGCGGUCUUGUAAGUCGGAUGUGAAAGCCCCGGGCUCAACCCGGGAAGUGCACUCGAUACUGCGAGGCUAGAGUACUGGAGAGGUUGGUGGAAUUCUCGGUGUAGAGGUGAAAUUCGUAGAUAUCGAGAGGAACACCGGUGGCGAAGGCGGCCAACUGGACAGAUACUGACGCUGAGACUCGAAAGCGUGGGGAGCAAACAGG
rnacentral:rRNA from 1 species